AUACUUACCUGGGCAGGGGGAGAUACCAUGAUCACGAAAGGUGGUUUUCCCAGGGCGAAGCUUAUCCAUUGCACUCUAGAUGUGCUGACCCCUUGUGAUUUCCCCCAAAUGUGGGAAACUCGACUGCAUAAUUUGUGGUAGUGGGGGACUGCGUUCGCGCUUUCCCCUA
rnacentral:snRNA from 1 species